UGACCGUCACAACGGCUUCCUGACGUGGCGGACUAACCCUACUGGAGCA
rfam:Planktotalea frisia strain SH6-1 PFRI_contig000021, whole genome shotgun sequence.